rnacentral:lncRNA from 1 species
GCGGCUCUGCUUGCGGCCUAUUUUUUGCACAUGGAGGCCCCUCGCAAAGUCUCGCGCCAUUUCGAGUCCGGCGGACGAAGUGGGCCGGCCCCACCCCUCAAGGCUAUAGCCCACCCGUUUUUGUGGCCUUUUUCCGCUGGAUGAACUUGGCGCCCCGGCCUUCCGGCGGUUAAUUUUGGGCGCGGCUGUGCCCGCAGCCUAUUUUUGGCACACGGAGGCACCUCGUAAAGUCUCGAGCCAUUACGAGUCCGGCGGACGAAGUUGGCGCGCCCCACCCCCGAAGGCUAUAGCCCACCCGUUUUUGUGGCCUUUUUCCGCUGGACGAGCUUGGCGCCCCAGCCUUCGGGCAUUUAUUUUAGGGUGCGGCUGUGCCCGCGGCCUAUUUUUGGCACAUCGAGGUUCCUCGAAAAGUCUCGCACCAUUCCGAGUCCGGCGGACGAAGUUGCCCAGCCCCACCCCCCAAGGCUAUAGCCCACCCGUUUUUGUGACCCUUUUCCGCUGGACGAACUUUGCACCACGGCCUUCGGGCGGUUAUUUUUGGGCGCGGCUGUGCCCGCGGACUAUUUUUGUCACACGGAGGCGCCUGGCAAAGUCUCGCGCCAUUCCGAGUCCGGCGGACGAAGUUGGCCAGCCCCACCCCCCAAGGCUAUAGCCCACCCGUUUUUGUGGCCUUCGGGCGGUUAUUUUUGGGCGUGUCUGUGUUCGCGGCCUAUUUUUGGCACACCGAGGUUCCUCGCAAAGUCUCGCGCCAUUCCGAGUCCGGCGGACGAAGUGGGCCAGCCCCACCCCCCAAGGCUAUAGCCCACCCGUUUUUGUGGCCUUUUUGCGCUGGACGAACUUGGCGCCCCGGCCUUCGGGUGGUUAUUUUUGGGCGCGGCUGUGUCCUCAGCCUAUUUUUGUCACACGGAGGCCCCUCAUAAAGUCUCGCGGCAUUCCGAGUCUGGCGGACGAAGUAGGCCAGCCCCACCCCCCAAGGCUAUAGCCCAGCCGUUUUUGUGGGCUUUUUCAGCUGGACGAACUUGGCCCCCCGGCCUUCGGGCGGUUUUUUUUUGGGCGCGUCUGUGCCCGCGGCCCAUGUUUAGCACACGGGGGGGCCUCGCAAAGUCUCGCGCCAUUCCGAGUCCGGCGGACGAAGUUGGCCAGCCCCACCCCCCAAGGCUAUAGCCCACCCGUUUUUGUGGCCUUUUUCCGCUGGACGAACAUGGCGCCCCGCCCUUCGGGUGGUUAUUUUUGGGCGCGGCUGUGCCCACGGCCUAUUUUUGGAACAUGGAGGUGCCUCGCAAAGUCUCGCGCCAUUCCGAGUCCGGCGGAUGAAGUUGGCCAGCCCCACCCCCUAAGGCUAUUGCCCACCCGUUUUUGUGGCCUUUUUCCGCUGGACGAACUUGGCGCCCCGGCCUUCGGGCGGUUAUUUUUUGGCUCGGCUGCGCCCGCAGCUAUUUUUGGCACACAGUGGUGCCUCGCAAAGUCUCGCGCCAUUCCGAGUCCGGCGGACGAAGUUG